UACGAAGGGGGCUAGCGUUGCUCGGAAUCACUGGGCGUAAAGGGUGCGUAGGCGGGUCUUUUAAGUCAGGGGUGAAAUCCUGGAGCUCAACUCCAGAACUGCCUUUGAUACUGAGGAUCUUGAGUUCGGGAGAGGUGAGUGGAACUGCGAGUGUAGAGGUGAAAUUCGUAGAUAUUCGCAAGAACACCAGUGGCGAAGGCGGCUUUCUGGGUCUUACCUGACGCUGAGGAACGAAAGCCAGGGGAGCGAACGGG
rnacentral:rRNA from 1 species